CUAAUAUAUAAUAUUUUAAAAACUUUAUAUUUCAUUUACACGUGAAGUGAGAGAGAUUUUGAUCAUCAUUACAAUUUAUACAUAUGGUUUUCGAAUUAUCUUUCUCAUCUCUCAUAGACUCUUAGUUUUCUCCGCAGAUUCAAUUAUUCUCUCUCUCUCUCUCUCUCUCUCUCUCUCUCUCUCUCUCUCUCUCUCUCUCUCUCUCAGUCUCUUUGAUUUCUCCGUUAGAACCAAUGUCCACAUAGAAUCUUUCAUCUCUCUCCUUCUUUCUGAAUUCUCCGACGUUAUCUUAGCGACGAUAAUGGCUUCCAUCAAUCUCAGUCGUCUAUUAAAAUCCCAAAACAAUGAUUAUCUCCUCUUCGAUUGAUUUUUAAGGAAGGCGAGGAACACGUCGAGACUCUUAUAGUCCAAUUCGCAGUUGGCGAUGAACUCGUUGGGUUAAGCCAGCCCCACACAAGGAUUUUGGGUGCAUCUAACAAUGUACAUAUUACAUCUAUUAUUCCUGCUGACAUAGAUUUUGAACUCGAUGAAGGGGAGUUGUGUUUCUCUAACGUGGAACAUGUAACCUCACUAGUGCAUGAGAAGGUCAAAGGCAAUAUUGACAGGUUGGAAGGCAAGGUUGAUGAAUGAACUAUACGAUUCUUUUAGUCAGCUGAAAGACGACAUAAAGAACCAUAUUUCUGACAACUUGUUUUAUUGGCUUGCCUUACAGGUCAGUUACCAGGAGAUUCUAUAUUCAGUUUGUAAGUCUCGUCUAAAUUGGUUAUGUGUAAUUCAAUGCUUCAACUUAUGUAACUAUCAAGUGUCUUCUGUCGAAUUACUACAAGUUGUGUAAUGUA